rnacentral:rRNA from 1 species
AUUGAACGCUGGCGGCAUGCCUUACACAUGCAAGUCGAACGGCAGCACGGGAGCAAUUCUGGUGGCGAGUGGCGAACGGGUGAGUAAAGUAUCGGAACGUGCCCAGUCGUGGGGGAUAACGUAGCGAAAGUUACGCUAAUACCGCAUACGAUCUAUGGAUGAAAGCGGGGGAUCGCAAGACCUCGCGCGAUUGGAGCGGCCGAUAUCAGAUUAGGUAGUUGGUGGGGUAAAGGCUCACCAAGCCGACGAUCUGUAGCUGGUCUGAGAGGACGACCAGCCACACUGGGACGGAGACACGGCCCAGACUCAUACGGGAGGCAGCAGUGGGGAAUUUUGGACAAUGGGCGAAAGCCUGAUCCAGCCAUGCCGCGUGCAGGAUGAAGGCCUUCGGGUUGUAAACUGCUUUUGUACGGAACGAAAAGGUUUGGCCUAAUAAGCUGAGCUCAUGACGGUACCGUAAGAAUAAGCACCGGCUAACUACGUGCCAGCAGCCGCCGUAA